rnacentral:rRNA from 1 species
AAUAUUUGACAAUGGGGGCAUCUCUGAUCGAGCCAUUCCGCGUGCGUGUAGAUGGCCCUAGGGUUUUAAAGCUCUUUCACCCGCUAAUUUGAUGACGGUAGCGGGUGAAUAAGCCUCGGCUAACACCUUGCCAUCAGCCGCGGUAAUAUGGAGGGGGUUAGCGUUGUUCGGAUUUACUGGGCGUGAAGGGCGCGUAGGCGGAUGUUAGCGUCAGAGGUGAAAGCCCCGGGAUCAACCGGGGAACUGCCUUUGAAACGGGACAUCUUGAGUUCGGAAGAGGGUAGCGGAAUACCCAGUGUAGAGGUGAAAUUCGUAGAUAUUGGGAAGAACACCGGUGGCGAAGGCGGCUACCUGGCCCGAUACUGACGCUGAGGCGCGAAAGCGUGGGGAGCAAACA